GACGGACGCUGGCGGCGUGCCUAAUACAUGCAAGUUGAGCGCUGAAGGUUGGUACUUGUACCAACUGGAUGAGCAGCGAACGGGUGAGUAACGCGUGGGGAAUCUGCCUUUGAGCGGGGGACAACAUUUGGAAACGAAUGCUAAUACCGCAUAAAAACUUUAAACACAAGUUUUAAGUUUGAAAGAUGCAAUUGCAUCACUCAAAGAUGAUCCCGCGUUGUAUUAGCUAGUUGGUGAGGUAAAGGCUCACCAAGGCGAUGAUACAUAGCCGACCUGAGAGGGUGAUCGGCCACAUUGGGACUGAGACACGGCCCAAACUCCUACGGGAGGCAGCAGUAGGGAAUCUUCGGCAAUGGACGAAAGUCUGACCGAGCAACGCCGCGUGAGUGAAGAAGGUUGUCGGAUCGUAAAACUAUGUUGGUAGAGAAGAACGUUGGUGAGAGUGGAAAGCUCAUCAAGUGACGGUAACUACCCAGAAAGGGACGGCUAACUACGUG
rnacentral:rRNA from 1 species